UACGGCCAUAUCCCGUUGAAACAUUGGUUCCUGUACGAUCACCAGAGUUAAGAAACUCGGGCCUGGUCAGUACCUAGAUGGGUGACCUCUUGAGAAUAUCAGGUGUUGAAAG